CAGUAGCCGCGGUAAUACGAAGGGGGCUAGCGUUGUUCGGAUUUACUGGGCGUAAAGGGCGCGUAGGCGGACUGAUAAGUCAGGGGUGAAAUCCCAAGGCUCAACCUUGGAACUGCCUUUGAUACUGUUUGUCUUGAGUUCGAGAGAGGUAAGUGGAACUGCGAGUGUAGAGGUGAAAUUCGUAGAUAUUCGCAAGAACACCAGUGGCGAAGGCGGCUUACUGGCUCGAUACUGACGCUGAGGCGCGAAAGCGUGGGGAGCAAACAGGAUUAGAUACCCCGGUAGUCCCUGUCUCUUAUAC
rnacentral:rRNA from 1 species